UCCAGGUCAGAGUUCAGAGCUUUCAAAUCCCAACUUGCCCCUGGGGAUUACGCAGCUGAUGUUUACAUCGCCUAGUCAAGCCAACCGGCUCGCUCUUGUUUCAGCAAACCCUGACUUACGUCUCCUAUUUGACUUGAGGCGGCACAGUGGCCAAGUCGAUUGGCCGUGGCAAGUGACCCUCCCUGUGGCUGAAGUGUUCUGAGGACUGGCGAGAGAGGCGCGCCAUGCUUGCCCCCUGUUCAGGUUGGGAGCUUGGCUGCUUCCGUCUCUGUCUCCGUCAGGUCCGACUGUGGGCUGGCGCUGGGCGCUGGUCUUGCUGGGCUUGCCAAGCCAGGCCGUACAGCUCAGGUAGGGGCGAGCGCUGGCCCGGAUCGGAGACUGAGGUCCCUCCGCCUGGCCCGGCGCGCCGAACUCUGAAGGAGUGGACACUGCAGGUGAGCCCGUUCGGUCGGCUGCGGGCGCGGCUCCCGUGCCACCUGGCCGUGAGGCCCCUGGACCCCCUCACCUACCCGGAUGGCGACCGCGUGCUGGUCGCGGUGUGCGGCGUGGAGGGCGGCGUGCGGGGCCUGGACGGCCUGCAGGUGAAGUACGACGAGGAUCUGGAGGAGAUGGCCAUUGUGUCUGAUACUAUCCACCCCCAGGCGUCCGUGGAGGUGAACGCGCCCCUGAAGUUUGGCAAGUGAAGUGAAGUGAAAACGGGUUUGGGUCCCAGGGAACGCACAGUGAACUUAAUAAAUUUGGUCGACGUGCACUUUUAA
rnacentral:lncRNA from 1 species